rnacentral:rRNA from 1 species
CCACGGGUGGCAGCAGUGAGGAAUAUUGGUCAAUGGGCGGAAGCCUGAACCAGCCAAGUAGCGUGCAGGAUGACGGCCCUACGGGUUGUAAACUGCUUUUAUACAGGAAUAACGCGCCUUACGUGUAGGGCUUUGCAUGUACCGUAUGAAUAAGGACCGGCUAAUUCCGUGCCAGCAGCCGCGGUAAUACGGAAGGUCCGGGCGUUAUCCGGAUUUAUUGGGUUUAAAGGGAGCGUAGGCCGCAUGUCAAGCGUGCUGUGAAAUGGCCGGGGUCAACCCGGGCCUUGCAGCGCGAACUGGCGUGCUUGAGUCCGCGGAAAGCAGGCGGAAUUCGGCGUGUAGCGGUGAAAUGCUUAGAUAUGACGAAGAACCCCGAUUGCGAAGGCAGCUUGCUGCAGCGGAACUGACGCUGAUGCUCGAAAGCGCGGGUAUCGAACAGGAUUAGAUACCCCUGUAGUC